rnacentral:rRNA from 1 species
GAUUGAGAUUUUAACACGAAGUGAGUGGCGAACGGGUGAGUAACACGUGGGUAACCUGCCCAGAAGUAGGGGAUAACACCUGGAAACAGAUGCUAAUACCGUAUAACAGAGAAAACCGCAUGGUUUUCUUUUAAAAGAUGGCUCUGCUAUCACUUCUGGAUGGACCCGCGGCGUAUUAGCUAGUUGGUGAGGUAAAGGCUCACCAAGGCAGUGAUACGUAGCCGACCUGAGAGGGUAAUCGGCCACAUUGGGACUGAGACACGGCCCAGACUCCUACGGGAGGCAGCAGUAGGGAAUCUUCCACAAUGGACGCAAGUCUGAUGGAGCAACGCCGCGUGAGUGAAGAAGGGUUUCGGCUCGUAAAGCUCUGUUGUUAAAGAAGAACGUGGGUAAGAGUAACUGUUUACCCAGUGACGGUAUUUAACCAGAAAGCCACGGCUAACUACGUGCCAGCAGCCGCGGUAAUACGUAGGUGGCAAGCGUUAUCCGGAUUUAUUGGGCGUAAAGCGAGCGCAGGCGGUCUUUUAAGUCUAAUGUGAAAGCCUUCGGCUCAACCGAAGAAGUGCAUUGGAAACUGGGAGACUUGAGUGCAGAAGAGGACAGUGGAACUCCAUGUGUAGCGGUGAAAUGCGUAGAUAUAUGGAAGAACACCAGUGGCGAAGGCGGCUGUCUGGUCUGCAACUGACGCUGAGGCUCGAAAGCAUGGGUAGCGAACAGGAUUAGAUACCCUGGUAGUCCAUGCCGUAAACGAUGAUUACUAAGUGUUGGAGGGUUUCCGCCCUUCAGUGCUGCAGCUAACGCAUUAAGUAAUCCGCCUGGGGAGUACGACCGCAAGGUUGAAACUCAAAAGAAUUGACGGGGGCCCGCACAAGCGGUGGAGCAUGUGGUUUAAUUCGAAGCUACGCGAAGAACCUUACCAGGUCUUGACAUCUUCUGACAGUCUAAGAGAUUAGAGGUUCCCUUCGGGGACAGAAUGACAGGUGGUGCAUGGUUGUCGUCAGCUCGUGUCGUGAGAUGUUGGGUUAAGUCCCGCAACGAGCGCAACCCUUAUUACUAGUUGCCAGCAUUAAGUUGGGCACUCUAGUGAGACUGCCGGUGACAAACCGGAGGAAGGUGGGGACGACGUCAAAUCAUCAUGCCCCUUAUGACCUGGGCUACACACGUGCUACAAUGGAUGGUACAACGAGUCGCGAGACCGCGAGGUUAAGCUAAUCUCUUAAAACCAUUCUCAGUUCGGACUGUAGGCUGCAACUCGCCUACACGAAGUCGGAAUCGCUAGUAAUCGCGGAUCAGCAUGCCGCGGUGAAUACGUUCCCGGGCCUUGUACACACCGCCCGUCACACCAUGAGAGUUUGUAACACCCAAAGCCGGUGGGGU